rnacentral:rRNA from 1 species
GAUGAACGCUGGCGGCGUGCCUAAUACAUGCCAGUCGAGCGAACGGACGAGAAGCUUGCUUCUCUGAUGUUAUCGGCGGACGGGUGAGUAACACGUGGAUAACCUACCUAUAAGACUGGGAUAACUUCGGGAAACCGGAGCUAAUACCGGAUAAUAUUUUGAACCGCAUGGUUCAAAAGUGAAAGACGGUCUUGCUGUCACUUAUAGAUGGAUCCGCGCUGCAUUAGCUAGUUGGUAAGGUAACGGCUUACCAAGGCAACGAUGCAUAGCCGACCUGAGAGGGUGAACGGCCACACUGGAACUGAGACACGGUCCAGACUCCUACGGGAGGCAGCAGUAGGGAAUCUUCCGCGAUGGGCGAAAGCCUGACGGAGCAACGCCGCGUGAGUGAUGAAGGUCUUCGGAUCGGAAAACUCUGUUAUUAGGGAAGAACAUAUGUGUAAGUAACUGUGCACAUCUUGACGGUACCUAAACAAAAAGCCACGGCUAACUACGUG